AUUCCAUUUUCAAUACGGUCCGACGGUGCCGAAAGUGAUGUUUUCGAGUCUAUUUUAUGUAACCUAAGCAAAAUGACAUCAAUAUCUCCGCGCAUCUUUAACAUUUUAUGAAACAGUGUUACUGUAUUACUAACCUUACUACCUACAUGGUUUUUUUUUACAAAAUGUUAACUUCAAGGUAACAUUCAUAAAAUUGCCAAAGUUUGAGUUUGCAUAUCGCGAAAAUGUUUGAAGAUGUGAUAGAUGUUAUUAAGAUAAGCCAUAAAAACACGAGAAAACUUAUUCCCAAAUCGAAAGUCUCAGGGAGCCUCUUAAGAAGGCAAUGUAAUGAGUAGCCCAUUUCAUAUUACAAUUUCAACCCUGAAUUUGACAAAGCCCAAAAUACUGGAAGACAACAUUUGACACCAUGAAAGAGUAUAUUUUCUAUAUAUGUGCCAUACGCGUGCGGCCUUGAGGGAUAGAACAUACAAUCCCGCGAUAACAUACCAAUAACAACAUACGUAAUUUGGUCGCGUUCAUUGUAAAACCCCCCAAAAAACGUCUACAUCACUUAGGUAUUUUUGGAAGGAAGCAGAAAGGAAAAGUGAGACUAUGACAAGGACAAACAAUAAUAAUGCUUUCUCUGCUACUCCUACUGAAAGUUUCACAAGACCAUCCCAUUCGGUCAUUUCCCUCACACUCCUCAAGUCAGAUCCAGAGUUAUCUUUAUCCAUGGUUAACCCCCUUUUUUGUAUUUUUUUUUAACGAGAAAUAACAGAAUCUUUGAUACUAUUGAGAGCCUAGAAGGUGGUUGCGUGUUUUGUGUUAAAAAAAUAUUUCUUACAUAAUAAGUUUGAAAUUGCCGAAAAAAUUGUAAAUAGAUAGAUAGAUAGAUAAUCCGUUUAUUUGUUUGCCACAAUACACACAGGAAAUACAAUUAAUAAAAUGACAAAAAAACAGAUAAUACAAAAUCAUACGAGAGAAAUACACAUUUAUACAAAAUAGAAGUAGAAAGAAAAAAAAUACAUUGAAAUAAUGCUGUUCCAUACAUAUAGGAAAUGUUGUGUGCGUCGCAGCAAAACAAAAGGGUUCUGGCUCAGUAUUACGUUUCACCCUAUGGGAGAGGCACUGAUAUUCUGCCAGGACCAGAUCACGUCAACCAAGAUACAGUGUAAAAUAUGCAAUAUUCAAAGUUAGUACUUACCGAAAUACCUUGUUUAUAAAACUAGUGACAUAAUUAUCAUUGAAAGUGUGUACUUACAUAGUUAUGACAUUGAAGUGUCAGUGUGAUUAGCAUGCUUAAGUAAUAAUACGUAGUGUCAAGUGUAAUUAUAAGAAGAAAAUUAUUUUUUAUACAUUAUAAAUUACUAAGACCAAAUAAAAUAAUAGUAUUAGUGAAGACUAAAUUCGGUAAUCAGCAACCAGGUAACCAUGAGAGACUCCCAAAGUUUGCUUCUCCAAAAGCACCUGGUUGCGAGAUACCGAAAACAGCCUGUGAAAGCAACGGUUUUGUGGGGAUGCGCUUCCAAAAGACUUCGUUUAUGGAAAGAGGAAAUACGUAUUUUGGAGUACAAAUAUCCGGGCCUUUCGUUAUUCAACACGCCGAAUAGAAGAUUCGCAAGAUGUAGAUGUCUACGAGAGGACAUAUUUAAUAUGGACGCUUUGUUUAAGUAAGGCGUAAUAUGUCUUCUCGGCGGGAUUGAACAACAAAAGCGGAUACAGGCAUUUUGGACUCUUUGGAUAAGACGGCGCGUUUUUUCCAGCAGUCGUGGCCCAUACACUAUAAAUAAUACCUGUAUGCGCCUCUCAUUCUUAAUACUUCGAAUUUCGUAUAUCCGAUUGAGAGCCGCGCGGAGCACCCUUUCCUCUUGUUCGGCUGCUGCAAGUCCCGCUUUGUACAAGCUUUUCAGUUGCAUUUGCUAUAAAAUAAUGUCAUUCUCAAAUAAGGUCUUUAUGAGAAAUAAUGUAUAAUAAUUCCGAACAUUGUCACAAUAAUUUUUUUGUUAUAAAUAAUAUAUCUUUAGAGUUGGUAGUGUAAGACUAGGCCUGCCAUUUUGAAAUGUAGACAGAAAGCUUCAAGUUGGCACUAAAUUUUAACCUUGUUAUUUACUAACAAAUCACUUCUGAGCAUAUGCUCCUGCAUUUAUACGCAAACUGAUAUAAAUAAAUAAAAACACAUACAUACAGCAGGCUGCAAAAGCCACUGGCCACUUACUGAAUGAGUUCUAUGGUGGGUUUACCUGUUGGGAUGAUCCGGAAGAAUCCUCAUUUGAUGGUGGGGACUCAGCUGCUUUUUCUGCCUUUAAUAUGGACUCUAUGCAUUGUUCAUUGCGGCCCCUUUCAGCCUCAAUUUCAUAUAUGAGCCUAUGCAAUGCUCUAAGUCGCUCCUAAUAACAAAUUGUGAGAGUUAUAUUAGUAUUCUAAUGGGUAUAUUGUUGCCAAAUGACCUGAAAUCCCUGGAUUGUCAAGGAUUUAAAAGCAAAUUAUUUAAGUGGUGUUUACAAAAAAUGUUCUACACAGUCAAUGAACACUUUGUAUCCACCAAUGCUUAAACAAAAUGUUAUUCCAUUUUAUUACUAUUGAGUGUUAUUGACAUUUUAAUAUUAUGAAUUAUUACGAAAACAUUGUGUUUGCUGCUUUUCUAUAUGCCUGAAAUUUACCUAUUAUUAUUAUUAUUCUUUUUAUAAUUAUUAUUGACUUUUUUUUUAUAAUUAAAUAUUUUUUUUAUUCUGACA